rnacentral:rRNA from 1 species
UACGUAGGGUGCGAGCGUUGUCCGGAAUUACUGGGCGUAAAGAGCUCGUAGGUGGUUUGUCGCGUUGUUCGUGAAAACUCACAGCUUAACUGUGGGCGUGCGGGCGAUACGGGCAGACUGGAGUACUGCAGGGGAGACUGGAAUUCCUGGUGUAGCGGUGGAAUGCGCAGAUAUCAGGAGGAACACCGGUGGCGAAGGCGGGGUCUCUGGGCAGUAACUGACGCUGAGGCGCGAAAGCGUGGGGAGCAAACAGGG